CUAUGAAGGCUGGAGGAUGGCAUGGCCAAUCUGACUCUUUUCUUGGCCGGUCCCAAGAGCUUCGACCAGGCAGAGCUGCCUAUACGAGGAAAGUUGCUGGAUAAGGAGAGGGGAGGGGGGGAAGUGAAGGGCCUCCUCUGAAUGGGGCCUAAUAGUGGGUUCAGCUUGGUGAUUGUGGGGGGUGCUCAUGGGAAUGCUCCGGUUCAAGCUUUCUAAAAGCUGAGACCCUAGGUACUUUGUCCUAUCGAUUCGGUGUGUUUGAUGCGGGGUUGACUACAAUUAUAAGUAUGCCUAGUUUAUGCAUAAAAAAGUUUGCGGGUUGCGCUUUGGAUAUUAUGGAUAAUAUAAUGCAGUGCUUGUACUACUACUGGCCUGGUGUGUAUGGUGGGUGGUGAUGCCCCCAAUAUAUAUAUAUAUAUAACAGUGCUUGAUAAAGGUGGAUUUGGAGUUGGAAUUAAGUUGGUUCUCCUGACUGGACUGAUGUAAUAAGAAGAUAAC
rnacentral:lncRNA from 1 species